UACAGUGGGGUGCAAACGUUUGCUGCGGAAUUAUUGGGCGUAAAGCGCGCGUAGGCGGUUACUUAAGUCGGAAUGUGAAAGCCCUCGGCUUAACUGAGGAAGUGCACCCGAAACUGAGUAGCUAGAGUACGAAAGAGGGUCGCGGAAUUCCCGGUGUAGAGGUGAAAUUCGUAGAUAUCGGGAGGAAAGCACCGUGGUGCGAAGGCGGCGACCUGGGUCGAGACUGACGCUGAGGCGCGAAAGCGUGGGGAGCAAACAGG
rnacentral:rRNA from 1 species